AUUGAACGCUGGCGGCAUGCCUUACACAUGCAAGUCGAACGGCAGCAUGAUCCAUCUUGCUAGAUUGAUGGCGAGUGGCGAACGGGUGAGUAAUACAUCUGAACGUGCCCUGUAGUGGGGGAUAACUAGCCGAAAGAUUAGCUAAUACCGCAUACGACCUGAGGGUGAAAGUGGUGGACCGCAAGGCCUCAUGGUAUAGGAGCGGCCGAGGUCGGAUUAGCUAGUUGGUGAGGUAAAGGCACACCAAGGCGAGGAUCAGUAACUGGUCUGAGAGGAUGAUCAGUCACACUGGAACUGAGACACGGUCCAGACGCCUACGGGAGGCAGCAGUGGGGAAUAUUGGACAAUGGGCGAAAGCCUGAUCCAGCCAUGCCGCGUGUGUGAAGAAGGUCUUCGGAUUGUAAAGCAAGUUAAGUGGGGAGGAAGGGCAGUAAGUUAAUACCUUGCUGUUUUGACGUUACCAACAGAAUAAGCACCGGCUAACUUCGUG
rnacentral:rRNA from 1 species